GCAUCAGACGCCACUGGUGCUGAGGGAGAAAUGUGCUGAGCGAGAGAAAUGAAGGGCAGGGAUCUGGAAUACAGAGGGAAAGUAUCUAAUCAGAAAUAACAGCUCUCAUCAGGCACAGACAAUAGACAGUAAACUGGCUUCAGGAGAGCUAUUCAGGCAUCAUGGGAGCCAAAUCAACAGACAGAAGGAGGUGAUGCUCCUGACAGUUUGAUUACUUGGAAUCUGAGGUGAAAAUGCCCAACCAAAGAGAUCGGUUGAGAGAGAAAAAACAGCAGCACAUUAAAAUAAGAAAAUCAGGAUUUUUGUGAAGGAUACAAUUGCGUGUUCGCGUGUUGCUGAAACCCAAAGGUGAUUAUUUUAGGGUUAUCUUUGGAGGGAAACAGGACAGACACAGUUCUCAGUCACAAGGGAGAGAUCCUGUCAGUGCGGUCCCUCUGCAAGGGCUCUGUCCCUUCCCAGGCUGUUUGACUGGUCAGCCAGAAGCUGAUGGGAGUCAGAUUCUCCCCUCCAAAGAUCUGUUUUCGUCUCACUGUUACUUUCACAGGAAGAAACUUCCAGCUCUCUCUUCUCAAACCUCUGGAGAGGACACCAUGCCUGAAGCGAUUGUGAGGAACACCUCAAACAAACAAAAAUCAAGGUAAUCUGUCUUCAUCAGAUCUUGUUCAGAAUGCAUUGGUAAAUCCUUACAUGAAACAAGUUAUCUUUCCUUUCCAUUAUACUUCUUUUUAUCAUUAUUUAUUGUAAUUAAAUGUUGUUUCUUCCAUUAAAUCAAGUUCUCCUUCAAAACUAGCCGAGUCUUUGGUCACAAUGACAUUGCAGCUUUGAGUUCCAUUUACAGUUUCUCCCUUCGAGUUUUUCUAAACACCAAAAUUACCUUUCUUUUAAAAAAGAAAAAUUAGUCUUGUAAAACAGCUCUUUUCACUUAGGAAAAACAAACUGAAAGAUCCAUGUUGGACACUUUCUGUCAUGUCUUUUCAAACAGAAUCCCAUUCAGGAAAAGUCAUAGUUUGGAAACUGUCAUAGAAAAAAGGUAAAGCUUUGAGAAGCUGUUGGAGUUUUUGUUAGAAACUGGUUGCUAUACUAAAAAAAGAAAAAAAAAAAAAAGAAGGAAAAAAAAAAAGAAAAAAAAAAACCCCAACCAAACAAAAACAAAUUAUCAAAGACAGCUUUCUUGUUGGAGACAUCAUCAUCAUCUAAUCUGCAAAACUGAGGAAGGUGGAAGUUGUUUUGCCCCAUCACUGUUGCAUCAAAGUCAAGGUUAAUGUUCUGCAGAGGAAUUACAAUAAUAAGGAAAAUUAUCUCAAAGCAAGGAAAUGAUGCACCAAGGGACACAGAAAGACCUGAAGCUCCAUAUCCCAUAGACCUAUGGAUUUUAUAAUCAUCUUCUCUUUCAGCAGGGCCCAUUCCAGCCAGGUCAGGAGAUGGAUCAAGAAACUUCACAGCAGGGCAAUUUAUAGAAAAAAUGUGCCAGCCCAGAGCUGCUGGUCCUUAUUGUGCAGAUCUUGCUUUCUGCUGUUCCCCCUGUGCUGUUGAAUACAAAGGUGCUUUGGUUUGCAGUACAUUACAUUUAUUACACAGUUUUUUGGAAGCCAGCUAAACUGCUGACUUGUUUGAUACUUUGUGGCAUAAAAUCCUGGGGCUGAAAAGGGCAUCUCCUUCAGUCAUCUCUAAAUCAUUCACCCUGUAUUUUAUUGAGUUCCUUCCAGUCAACGUAGUAGAGGAUGACUAGACAGGCUGCAGUGACCUGCUGGAAAUUUUCAUAUUUGCUUCAUUUUCCAAGCCAUAUUAAGAAGUUUAUUCUCACUUAGCAGUUUCUGACUUUAAAUUUUCCUGUCUCCUCCUACUUCAGUAACUGAUUGAAAUUUUAUGAAGAGUCAGGGAGGGAAGAAAACAAAACCAAUUUAAUCAUAGCAGGAGGAAGCAAGUUCAUUUUCUCAACCCAGAGAAUUUUCGUCAAGCUCACCCCUGGUGGAAAGUCCUUGGGUUUUAGCACUGCAGACUCCUAAAUCCAGUCAAACUACCUCUGUGGGAGGAAAAAGAAAAAGAAUGAGCAGAGAAAUACCUGUUCUUUAAAAAUCAUCUUUAAGCUGAAGGACUGCACAACUGCUUGACUAUGAUACUCCAGAGCUGCCCUGUAAUCCCUGAAUCCUACUGAAUUCACACCCUGGUGAUAUAUCAAUGUCAAAGGGAUGCAACUGGUAAUUCUGCCUGGCUAUUAAACUGCCUUGUGUGUCACCCUAUUUCCAAUGGCUGCUGUCAAGGGCCACUGUGAGACCUGUAAACCACCGCAGGGCAGCCCAGGCCCUGAGCCUGUGAGAAGAUUGAGGGAUGCACAAGCUGUGCCUGGCAGAGGUGGGCAGCCUGAGACGUCCUUGCUUGAGAUCCCCAAGUGGAGCUAAGGAACCAAAUUUCUUUUAUGAUUGAUGCCUCAUUUCCUCAUUAAUGCCACAAAGAUUUAUGUCAAGGGACUUCCAGAGUGCUAAUGGAAUUACCCACCUAAAUCUCCCCCGCGCCGAUGGCAGGGAACGCUCCGGUUCUUUGCCCUCACGUUAGUGCUGGGUGAGUAAUUGAAUUAUUUGUUAGCUGGCAAAACUAAAAGCCUUUGAUUUUUGUUGGUAGGGCUGAGGGCUUUUCAACACCUGUUUUUUUAAAUACCUUUAUUUAGGCUUGAGUUUUAAUUUGAAAUACAAAGUGAAAACAUUUUGAUAAUUUUUUUCCAUUCCAGUGCCAGCGAGGGUCAGUAAACUCUGCCUUUUUUAUUAUUAUUAUUAACAAAAUGCCAUCCUGGAGCAUUCCAUUUACCUCUGUUUAGUGUGCCUGCUUCUAUCAGGAUUUUCAUGUUGCUUCAGAUCUGGUGCUGAUUUUGCUGAAAAGUCCUUUCCCAUAGCCCUCAUGGCUGCCAGUUAAUUUCCUAAAAUCCCCUUGGGUUUAGUAUCUGUGCUAGGGCACAAAACUGCACUAGCUGGGCUUGGGGAGGAUGAAAAGAGCAGCACAAUCACUUCUGCAGAGCAGGGCCGACUUCUGGUCUGGAGAAAAUGACUGAAGGAGUAGGAAUAAUUCUGGAAAUCACUCUGAAAUCAAGAUGGGAGGAAGCAGCUGGGGCUGGGCAGCCUCUUGUGUGAAACCACUUCCAUGAACCUUGUCCAAGUGUGUGCACACACCUGGGAAUGCUUUAUUCCUUGUCAUGGACCUGAUCCUGUGGAGCUGUGAGUGUUGUCCAGGUCAGCUGCUCCAUGCACUAGGAGGACAGCUUGUGCCUCUAAGGAGAAAUACAAGUUCAGGACACUGGAAGUAUGAGAGUGUGAAGAUUAAUGAUAGAAAACUAUCAUGUGUCUGAGGAGAGGAAAGCAAGCAGGAAAAAGGAGCCUAAAUUAGGCUGCACCUCCCUGGGCAGAACACUCAGGUUAUAAAUAUUCUGGCAGCAUUUAGAGCAGGGCUGGCUGUGCUGGUUGUUUUUUGCUAUCUGUGUGUAUUCAUGCUGCUGCUGUGCUGUGCUGACAGAGCCACCCCGAGUGUCUGAGGUGUGGCUGAGUGUGGGUUUGGCAGCAGGGACUGACCCCUGGCUCUGCCACGCCUGUGCUGUGGGACACGAGCAUUCCGUGGUGAGCAUUCCAUGGUGAGCAUUCCAUCGCUCAGCUGGAGCCAGGGGUGCUGGGUUUAAAGAGCAUCUUCUCAGAGGAGCCAAACCUUUCCUUGCUGUCACUGAGUCGCCCUGAUCUUUGUGAGCAAGCUGGCACGAGGGCUUGAAAGGCGUCAUCACCCUCCUCUCCAGCCCCAAAGCUGACGGGCAAGGGAAAGUGAGGCACAGGGAGGAAAAUGCGGGGUGCUGAUGGCCCAGCUGGGUGGGAGCAAAGCAGCAAAAUGCUUGUCAUUGUCAGGCUUAAGUCACAGCAGAUUUCAGCCUUCAAAACCCCCCCAGUGAUUUACAGGACUAAAAUAGUCAUUGCUGUGAGGAGCAGGUGCCUGCAGUGAGCUCCACCUCUCCCUCCCUUUGUGGUGGCCCUGUCCUGGGGACACCAAGGUGUGAGGGGGGGUCAGCAGUGUGUGCUGGACGAGCUCAGGCACUGGUCAGUGUUUGCUGAGCUGCAAUGGAUGGGAUCACUGGGAAUUGCUGCAUUGCUGAGUGCAGUCAAUCCACUUACCAGCACAACACUGCUCCUGAAGGAUCCCAGCCUCUGGUUCCAAAGAAAAUUCUCUCUAAUCUGGAAUAGCUCUGCCCUGGGAGGUGCCUUUAAUAUGACAGUAGGGCUGCUAUGUCAGGAUGAAUGCUUUUUUAAUUUGUAAAAAAAAAAAAGAACCUUAUUCCUACUACAAAAAAGUUUAGUGCAGAGAGUCAACUGAGGUAAUGUUUUUAGAAGCUGAAAAUAUCAGGAAAUCAAAUAAAAGGCAACAG